rnacentral:lncRNA from 1 species
AAGAAAUACAACAGUGUUUACACACCAAAUUAACCGAAAUUAAUGCAAUAGCUGCAUCAACCAUUAUGGAGUAUUACAGUAGAAAAACAAACUCAACUGCAAGAGAAAAACCAUCCAUGGAAACGAAAAGGUGAGGCAUACAUGGAUUAUUUCGCAUCCAAAAGCAUAAUAUAGGCUACUUGUUCGUCUUUUUCUCCCUGACACUUUUCAUAUGGAGGAGCAUCUUAUCAUAGUCGGGAAUGUUUUCUUUAAUCAGAGGAACUUCAAUGAAAUUCUGGGCCCAAGCAUGCAAUCGAGGCAGUGUGCUUGGUUCAAGAACUUUCACACCCGCUGCUUCUUCAAUGGCUGCAAACCAAUAAGCGAAGAGUCCAUAUGAGAUGUCAACUAGAUUUAUGCUGUCACCGCCAAAAAACUUCUUGUCCCCGAGACCUUGCUCUUCUAAGACUCUCAACACUUCCGCCAUUUCUUUCACUGCCUUCUCUAGCUCCUCUCCACUAGCUCGGAAAAAGGCACCAAAGGCAGCACCCUAAAUUAUGAAAGAAUUGAAUUUACAAGUCACAGAACAGAGAUAAAUGAAUAGAUAUUUGAAGGUGUUUAGCCUGAGGAGAGUAAAAAUAAAGGAAGGCAAGUUAUGAGAAAUUUUUAAUUAUUAUUCCACUUUAAGAACAAGGAGAAGAAAAUGUUUUAUGGAAUCGAUUGUUUUUUUCCAGGACUGCUACCAGAUCAAAUUAAACAUUGUGGGCCUCAUGAACAGUUACAAAAUAUAUACAAGAAGAUGGAUCUCGUUACCUUGGUACCUCCAUAUUGAAUCCAAAACCGAGCCAUGGCUCUCUCGUAAGGAUCAGUCGGUAGCAGUGGAUUCUCCGGCCAUGUUUCCUCGAUGUAUUCAAGGAUAACAAGAGACUCCGCAAUCGGCUUGCCACCAUGGACGAGUACAGGGAUUUUCUUGUAAACUGGGUUAUACUUCAAUAGCAGUUCACUUUUAUUGGUGAGGUCUUCUUCAAUAUACUCAAACUCCACGCCCUUUAGUUUCAGAGCCCAUAUAAUUCUGUAACUAAAAGGGCUAGCCCAGAAACCAUGCAGCUUCACAUCUGCCAUCGUUCCAAUGAGAUCAGAAUGCAAGGUCUCCUGCUGUGCCGAGUCCUCUUAUAGCGUCUUUUGGCUUGGGCAACAAGUAUUGGAUGCAAGAAACAUUUUUUUAUAUUGCAAGUAUUGACUUGACUUGGUCCAUAACUUUGAUUCCGAUUUUUUUUUAAUUUAACUUGGACAUCGUAAUUUGCAAGUAAUCCGUACGAUGAUUUUUUUUUUUUUUUGGGUCACGGUAUGCAGUUUAUUACUUUAUUUUCCUUUCAAGAAACUCUGACUACUCUGUAGAAAGUCACAUUCUUUGAACGUAUUCAUGCCUAGCCUUCGGAUUAGGUGGUGGAACCUGACAUGCCUACCAAUAUCACGAUGUUAUUGAAUUAAGAAAAGCAGAAAUAAACUAUCCGAGUUGCAACCUUUUUCUUUUGUUAACCUCUGCCAAAUAAUCCAUCGACUAUCUGAUUGAUCACUAAUUAACUACAAACUAAAUUUUUUAAUAUUGAUGAUUUGUAGUUUAACUUGUAAAAUUUUGAAUUUGUUUUUUUAAAGUUUAUUUAAUGUUAUAAAUUUUGAAAUUACUAAAAAUUUAUCUUAUUAAUUUUAUAGUAUCAUGACAUUAGUUAAAACGCUUCUAAACAAACUUAAAUACUCACGGUUAUAUAUAUAUAUAUAUAUAUAUAUAUAUAUAUAUAUAUUAUCUUUCUAAUAUGCUGAAAUUAUUUGCACUUCUUUAUAAUUUAUUGGAAUUGAAGUAGUGUAUUUUUAAUAAUUUUUAGUUUGAUAUUUAAAUUUUUAUUUUGUGCAAUUUACUUUUCUCAAGUACAAAUUAACUUUUAAUUACAUAUUUUUUAAAGGAAAAAAAAAGUUGAAUUUAAAUAUAGCAAACUAAAGCAAAAAUAUAGAGUGAUAUGGCUACAGAUUAAAAAUUUUAUUAAAACAUUUAUUUUAAUUCUCUCAUGUUUUUUAGAUAUUAGAUGACCAAUGUUUUAAAUUUAAAGACAAUAUAUUUUGAUAUCUAACUUUAUUUUUCUCUUUUGUGUAGUUGUUUUCUACUGGGAGGAAAGAGAAAGAGCUGUCGAAUUCUAACUUAGAUAUAGAAAGUUGUCACUAUGGAAGAUUCUAAUAGCCAAAAUGAUUGAUUUUUAGGUCAAAAUAUUUCAUAUAAUGAGAGGGUUAUGUUUAGGUGUUUGUUUACCUUAAAAACACCUCAAGCAACAAAUUUAAGUUCAUGAAGAAUUUUAUUUUCUUGUGUUUUUAGGUUUUGUGGUGAUUUAUUAGGUUUCUGGAGAUCAUGAAUUAGUUUAAUUUAAUUUUUCUAGAGUAUUUUCAAUAUGUUUUGAGUCAAAAGAAGUUGAAAAGAAGAUUUUGGAUGAAAAAACAAAGGACCUUAUUUUUAUAGCCACCAUAGUGAUCCGAUUAUAUGUUUCACAGGUGAAACGUCUUUAUAUAUAUAUAAUUGAAACGGACAACAUGUUGUUCACCUAGUUAAACUCUUUUAAAAAAUAAAGGCCUGUGUGCGGGCCGUUGCUUUAUUAGGCCAUGUACUAGGCCUAACCUUGUUCUUUUUAAAAAGAAAAUUUAGUUUUUUAAAAAAUAAUAAAUUAUUUGCGUGUAUUUUUUCAAAUAAAUUUUGGGUUUAUAUUUUAAAAAGAUUGUGACCAUUUUAAAAUGAUAUUGGGUGUGUUAAAUUUUUUUUUAGAGAGAUGAGUAUGAUUCAUCCGUGAUUUUUUUUUCUAAAUUUUAUAUAAAUUAAGUUUGUUUUUUUUAAUAUGAUUUUUUAUAAGAUUUUUUUAUAUGUAUAGCCUUGCAUUGUUUUUUUUAAUUAUUAUUAAGUAAAUUUUAUGUGUGUGUCGAUUUCUAUUAUAAAAUUUAUGUGUUUUUGUUUUACAAAUUUAUUUUGAUAAAGGAAUUCAUUAGAUAUAAUCAAGUAAAUUACUCUUAUUGCAAUGUUAGAUAUCUUGAUUUUUAUUUUUAGCUUGGUUUUUUCAAUUUUAUUUUUGUCCAUUGUUGAUGAUUUUUUUUUCAUUGCUUUACAUAAUAGUUACUAGAUUAUUUAAUUAGAUACAUGCUUAGGUUAUUUGAUUUACACCUAGGAGUUUUUUUAGUAUAAAAAAACACAUUGAAGAACUCUGUAUACAUUUUAUUUAUGUUUUGAUGUUCAAGAUUUGAUGUUUAUUCUUAUGAUUUUUAAAUUUUUUUUCUUUGAAUUUUUUAUGGAAGUUUCAUUGUUUUUAGUUUUAUUAUUCAAUCAAAGUUUAUAAUGUAUUGUUUUUUUAUGUUUUUUUUUUAUCUUUUUACUUUUGAUUUUUGUUCUUUUAUUAAUGUUUCCAUUCUCUUCAAUUUAGCUCUCAAAACUAAAAUCUGUUGUUGCCUUUUGAUUUAUUUUAUUGUAAUUUUAACACUUAUUGUUUUUAUUUUGGAUUUUUUGUGUUUUUUUUUUUGUGAUAUAGUUUUUUUUGGUUUUAUAACCCGAGUCAUGGUUUAAAAAGUUAGCAGUAAUUAACUUUUUUUUAUCUUAUUUGUUUAUAUUCAUAUUUUUUAUAUUUUUUUCUAUAAAAUUAUCAUAUUCUCAUUUAAUUUUUAUUUUGUUAACAAAUAAAAUCAUUGAGAUGUUUUUGGAAUAUUGUGAAGAUAUAUUUUUAUAAUAUUGGUAAGUGUUUAAUUUUUGCAUUGAAUUGUUAUUUUUUUUGUUUUAUUUAUUGUCAAUAUCUUAUUUUUUAAUAAUAUUAUUAAAUUAAAAAAAUUUAUUAAACUCAUUCAAGCCAAUUUUUUAAAUAUUAUAUUUAUUUUUGUUUUGUUUUGUUUUGUUUUAUUUUAUUUUUUCAUAUUUUUGACACCAAAACAAAAUUGAUGGCGGUUUUAGUUUUGGUGCCCAGAUAACCCGCUGGCUGAAUGGGCUUGAACUCAACCCUAAUAACUUUAUAUCUACCAUAUUGAUAACUGAACUGUGACUUGUGUUCAACGAAUGAGGGCUUUAAAUUAUUCAUUACAGACUUUUUUUUUCUUUUUCUCUUUUUAUUGCAGACUUUUCUUCCUGGCUGUCCAAAUAAAUGGAAAAUUAAAAUUUAUCAACUCCACAACACAAAAGGUCUUGCUUAGAUAACCCUGGUUAGGAGAAAAAUACAUUUCAGCGUUCUCUUGGUCCAUUCCUGGAUAACACAAAGAUGAUGGCCUUCAUCAACGAGUCUAAGGGUGUGUUUAUUUUUUUAAAAGUUAUUUUUAAGAAAUUUUUUUUAAUUUUUUUGUAUUUAUUUGUUAUUAAAAAAGUUGGUGAAUGAAAAACACUUUCCGAUCAUAUAAAAAUUUAGCUAGAUUUUCAGAAAAGUAUUUUCAUUUUAUUUUGGAAGAAAAACACUUUUUAUAAGUUGUAAAAUAUUUAAAAAUAUCAUAUUAUUUACUGAUUAUAUCAAAUGUGAUCCAAUCUUCACUUAAUUACUAACCUAUAAUUAGUAUAUUUUGUAAAUUGAAAUUUUAGCUUUAGUACCUUUCUCAAAGACAAGACUACUUUUUUUAUUUAUUUACGUGGGUGUCCGGGCCAACUUGUGCGCACCACGACUAAUCUCACGGCCCACUGAACAUCCUACAAGCCCAGUGAGCAUAUAAAACACCACGGAGGUGACAUGCGUGCACAAUGAGACUUGAACCCUGGUGCAGAGGAAGGGAACAAGUCCCUUCUACUACUAGGCCAAGACCUCAAGUGCAUACAAGACUACUUCUUCAUGAUCUGGCCAUUAUGAGAUUGGCUUUCUCAAAAAACUGGUGUUGUACGGAACUAAAAGAUCACGAAUUAACGAUAUUCAUGAUACAAACAAUGGCAUGAAUGCAACUUCUUGAUCCAUUAUCCAAUGUGGGUAUUCAUGUUUCUUGAUUUUGUGAAAUCAUAAAUGUCGCAACCCGGAAAAAGAUUUUUAUAUAAUUAUAAAGUUUAAGAGUAAUGAUCUAAAAUUAUGAAUACUAUAAAAUUUAUUAAUCUACGAGAGACUUGUUAUGUAAAACAAAGAUGCAUCACCCCCUCCCCUGGAAAACAGAUUUAUUGAACCUUGAGUGAAUUUGGAAAUAGCUCUAAUCUCAGGAUUACUGUCAGUUAAUGUUGAUGUAAACUAGAUGAACCCUCAUUAUGGUACUUGGGCUAAAAGUUUAUACGAAAUCCACAUACAAAAUCAUUAGCACUGUUAUUCUAUUCUGGGUGUCCCAUUCAAAGCAGACCCCUCCCUGUCCAACCAAAACGCCCUCCUGGUUCUUCUGUUUACCUUUCUUGGCUGUCAAGAGGCGUGGCAAAGAAGAUUAGCAUUGAUACCGUCAUGCAUGGCGUAUAUCUAAACGGCAACUUCCAGGAGAUGAUAUGUAUGGUCAACAUUAUUAACAUUAAUAAUGCUUAUUUAACCCAGAAAAUCAUGAAGUAAAUCGCAAACCGUGAGAAAUUGCUGAGAAACUUCUACAGAAAAAGAAAGAACAUGCAUCGCAUUAAUUAUUGCAUUUCUUAUCUCCAUAGUCAAGUCUUCUUUCGACAGAGAAUUGAAGUGAAUAUGAUUAUGUAAGCAAAUAUAUCAAUAAUGGAGGAAGUAAACCUUCUUUUCGAGGUAUAUCCCUUUCAUUAACUAAAUUAUUUUGAAUUUGCUGACCCAUCACACAGAAGCAAAGGCAAAAGAAUAUUGAUGGUCGGAAGUCUGUUUACAUUGUAUUAAAAUAAUUUUUUUUUCUUUUAAAAAAAUAUAUUUAACUUUGGAUCAUCAAAAUAAUAUAAAAAUAUAAAAAAAUAAUUUUUUUAAAAGUACGUCUGAAAUGCAUUCGCGGCCGCCCUCGAUAGCAAAUGUGUACUGCCCACAGCCCAAGCAAGACUCUUUCAUUAAAAAUCAGCACUAUAAAUGACAAUGGCAGGUAAAGAACAGUCACCGUACAAAUCCCUUGGUCAUGGCGGAGGUAGUGAAGCUGCUCGGAGCAUUGUCCAGCCCAUUUGUUUUCCGAGUGAUAUGGGCUCUAAAAAUGAAGGGCAUUCCAUAUGAGUUCAUAGAAGAAGAUGUUACCAGCAAAAGUCCUCUGCUUCUGAAGAAGAACCCUGUUCUUAAGAAGAUCCCAGUGCUUCUCCAUGGCGAAAAACCAGUUUGCGAGUCCAUGAUUAUUGUCGAAUACAUUGAUGAGAUAUGGCCCCAAAAUCCCUUGUUGCCCAAUGACCCUUACGAGAGAGCUCUGGCUCGUUUCUGGGUCAAAUUUACCGGCGAUAAGGUAAAGAGUACAGGCAUCAUUUUACAUUACAUCAAAUAUUACUAUGAAACCGAGUUCUGGGCUUUAAAAAAAAACUGGUUUCUGCUGAUUUGGUUAGUUCAUGAUCAAUGAUGAAUCAUUAGGUUGACUUGCCGAGCUGUUCUGAUAAAAUUGAUUAACGGAAAGAAAGUAAAUGGAAAGGAAUAUAAAAGAAAUACAACAGUGUUUACACACCAAACCGAAAUUAAUGCAAUAGCUGCAUCAACCAUUAUGGAGUGUAUUACAGUAGAAAAACAAGCUCAACUACAAGAGAAAAACCAUCCAUGGAAACGAAAAGGCGAGGCAUACAUGGAAUAUUUCGCAUCCAAAAGCAUAAUCUAGGCUACUUGUUCAUCAUUUUCUCCCUGACACUUUUCAUAUGGAGGAGCAUCUUAUCAUUGUCAGGAAUGUUUUCUUUAAUCAGAGGAACUUCAAGGAAAUUCUGGGCCCAAGCAUGCAAUCGAG